rnacentral:tRNA from 3 species
GCCCACGUGCUGAAAUUGGUAGACAGGCUAGAUUCAGGUUCUAGUGUUCGUAUGGACGUGAAGGUUCGACUCCUUUCGUGGGCACCA